UACGGAGGAGGCAAGCGUUAUCCGGAAUUAUUGGGCGUAAAGCGUCCGCAGGUGGCGAUUCAAGUCUGCGGUCAAAGACUGGGGCUUAACCCUGGAAAGGCCGUGGAAACUGAAUAGCUAGGAGUGCAGGUAGGGGUAGGAAGGGAAUUCCCGGUGUAGCGGUGAAAUGCGUAGAGCUCGGGAAGAACAUCGGUGGCGAAAGCGCUCUGCUGGACUGCAACUGACACUCAGGGACGAAAGCUAGGGGAGCGAAUGGG
rnacentral:rRNA from 1 species